rnacentral:rRNA from 1 species
UACAGGGGGUGCAAACGUUGCUCGGAAUCAUUGGGCGUAAAGCGCACGUAGGCGGUUCGUUAUGUCGGAUGUGAAAGCCCUUGGCUUAACCGAGGAAGUGCAUCCGAAACUGGCGAGCUAGAGUACUAAAGAGGAUCGCGGAAUUCCCGGUGUAGCGGUGAAAUGCGUAGAUAUCGGAAGGAACACCUGUGGCGAAAGCGGCUCACUGGACCAUAACUGACGCUGAGGCACGAAAGCUAGGGGAGCAAACAGG